rnacentral:rRNA from 1 species
GAUGAACGCUGGCGGCGUGCCUAACACAUGCAAGUCGAGCGGAGAUAAGAGGAGUACUUGUACGAAUUUUAUCUUAGCGGCGGACGGGUGAGUAACACGUGAGUAACCUGCCUUUUACUGGGGAAUAACAUCGAGAAAUCGGUGCUAAUACCGCAUAAUGUCACGAGGCUGCAUGGCCAUGUGACCAAAGGAGCAAUUCGGUAAAAGAUGGACUCGCGUCCGAUUAGGUAGUUGGUGAGGUAACGGCCCACCAAGCCUACGAUCGGUAGCCGAACUGAGAGGUUGAUCGGCCACAUUGGGACUGGGACACGGCCCAGACUCCUACGGGAGGCAGCAGUGGGGAAUAUUGGGCAAUGGGGGAAACCCUGACCCAGCAACGCCGCGUGAAGGAUGAAGGUCUUCGGAUUGUAAACUUCUUUGAUCUGGGACGAAGAAAUGACGGUACCUGAAGAACCAGCCACGGCUAACUACGUGCCAGCCGCCGCAGUAA